CCAAUAGCGUAUAUUAAAGUUGUUGCAGUUAAAAAGCUCGUAGUUGAAUUUCGGGAUCAAGGAAUCGGUCAUGCCUCGGUAUGUACUGGUUUUAUUGGUUCUCACCUUCUAAAGAACCAUAAUGUCAUUUAUUUGAUGUUAUGGGGAAUUAGGACUGUUACCUUGAAAAAAUUAGAGUGUUUAAAGCAAGCUUACGCUUGAAUACAUUAGCAUGGAAAAAUGAAAUAGGACAUCCGAUUCUAUUUUGUUGGUUUCUAGGAUCGAUGUAAUGAUUAAUAGGGAUAGUUGGGGGCAUUAGUAUUCAAUUGUCAGAGGUGAAAUUCUUGGAUUUAUUGAAGACUAACUACUGCGAAAGCAUUUGCCAAGGAUGUUUUCAUUAAUCAAGAACGAAAGUUAGGGGAUCGAAGACGAUCAGAUACCGUCGUAGUCUUAACCAUAAACUAUGCCGACUAGGGAUCGGAUGAUGUUUAUUUUUUAGUGACUCAUUCGGCACCUUACG
rnacentral:rRNA from 1 species